rnacentral:rRNA from 1 species
UAGGGAAUCUUCGGCAAUGGGGGGAACCCUGACCGAGCAACGCCGCGUGAGUGAAGAAGGUUUUCGGAUCGUAAAGCUCUGUUGUUAAGGAAGAACGAGUGUGAGAAUGGAAAGUUCAUGCUGUGACGGUACUUAACCAGAAAGGGACGGCUAACUACGUGCCAGCAGCCGCGGUAAUACGUAGGUCCCGAGCGUUGUCCGGAUUUAUUGGGCGUAAAGCGAGCGCAGGCGGUUAGAAAAGUCUGAAGUGAAAGGCAGUGGCUCAACCAUUGUAGGCUUUGGAAACUGUUUAACUUGAGUGCAGAAGGGGAGAGUGGAAUUCCAUGUGGAGCGGUGAAAUGCGUAGAUAUAUGGAGGAACACCAGUGGCGAAGGCGACUCUCUGGUCUGUAACUGACGCUGAGGCUCGAAAGCGUGGGUAGCAAACAGG